rnacentral:rRNA from 1 species
UACGAAGGGGGCUAGCGUUGCUCGGAAUUACUGGGCGUAAAGGGAGCGUAGGCGGACAUUUAAGUCAGGGGUGAAAUCCCAGAGCUCAACUCUGGAACUGCCUUUGAUACUGGGUGUCUUGAGUGUGAGAGAGGUAUGUGGAACUCCGAGUGUAGAGGUGAAAUUCGUAGAUAUUCGGAAGAACACCAGUGGCGAAGGCGACAUACUGGCUCAUUACUGACGCUGGAGGCUACGAAAGCGUGGGGAGCAAACAGG